rnacentral:rRNA from 1 species
UACAGAGGGUGCGAGCGUUAAUCGGAAUUACUGGGCGUAAAGCGCACGUAGGCGGAUGUGUCAGUCAGGGGUGAAAUCCCGGGGCUCAACCUCGGAACUGCCUUUGAUACAGCACGUCUCGAGUCCGGAAGAGGUGGGUGGAAUUCCUAGUGUAGAGGUGAAAUUCGUAGAUAUUAGGAAGAACACCCGUGGCGAAGGCGGCUCUCUGGGACGGUACUGACGCUGAGACGCGAAAGCGUGGGGAGCGAACAGG